UACAGAGGGGGCAAGCGUUAUUCGGAAUUAUUGGGCGUAAAGGGCGCGUAGGCGGCUUGGCAAGUGGAUGGUGAAAUCCCUCGGCUUAACCGAGGAACUGCCGUCCAAACUGCUUCGCUUGAGACCGGGAGAGGUGAGUGGAAUUCCCAGUGUAGCGGUGAAAUGCGUAGAUAUUGGGAGGAACACCAGUGGCGAAGGCGGUUCACUGGUCCGGUACUGACGCUGAGGUGCGAAAGCGUGGGGAGCAAACAGG
rnacentral:rRNA from 1 species